UCCGGCAUGGUGUAGUGGCUAGCAUUUCCGCCUCUCAUUCGAAGCCUUAUAGCUUUAAUCAAGUCGCGGGAGACCGGGGUUCAAUUCCCCGUACCGGAA
rfam:Sclerotinia sclerotiorum 1980 scaffold_5 genomic scaffold, whole genome shotgun sequence.